UGGGGAAUUUUCCGCAAUGGGCGAAAGCCUGACGGAGCAAUGCCGCGUGGAGGUGGAAGGCCUACGGGUCGUCAACUUCUUUUCUCGGAGAAGAAACAAUGACGGUAUCUGAGGAAUAAGCAUCGGCUAACUCUGUGCCGA
rnacentral:rRNA from 1 species